rnacentral:rRNA from 1 species
UUAACACAUGCAAGUCGAGCGGGCGUAGCAAUACGUCAGCGGCAGACGGGUGAGUAACGCGUGGGAACGUACCUUUUGGUUCGGAACAACACAGGGAAACUUGUGCUAAUACCGGAUAAGCCCUUACGGGGAAAGAUUUAUCGCCGAAAGAUCGGCCCGCGUCUGAUUAGCUAGUUGGUGAGGUAAUGGCUCACCAAGGCGACGAUCAGUAGCUGGUCUGAGAGGAUGAUCAGCCACAUUGGGACUGAGACACGGCCCAAACUCCUACGGGAGGCAGCAGUGGGGAAUAUUGGACAAUGGGCGCAAGCCUGAUCCAGCCAUGCCGCGUGAGUGAUGAAGGCCCUAGGGUUGUAAAGCUCUUUUGUGCGGGAAGAUAAUGACGGUACCGCAAGAAUAAGCCCCGGCUAACUUCGUGCCAGCAGCCGCGGUAAUACGAAGGGGGCUAGCGUUGCUCGGAAUCACUGGGCGUAAAGGGUGCGUANGCGGGUCUUUAAGUCAGGGGUGAAAUCCUGGAGCUCAACUCCAGAACUGCCUUUGAUACUGAAGAUCUUGAGUUCGGGAGAGGUGAGUGGAACUGCGAGUGUAGAGGUGAAAUUCGUAGAUAUUCGCAAGAACACCGGUGGCGAAGGCGGCUCACUGGCCCGAUACUGACGCUGAGGCACGAAGGCGUGGGGAGCAAAC